UACGAAGGGGGCUAGCGUUGCUCGGAAUCACUGGGCGUAAAGGGUGCGUAGGCGGGUCUUAAGUCAGGGGUGAAAUCCUGGAGCUCAACUCCAGAACUGCCUUUGAUACUGAAGAUCUUGAGUUCGGGAGAGGUGAGUGGAACUGCGAGUGUAGAGGUGAAAUUCGUAGAUAUUCGCAAGAACACCAGUGGCGAAGGCGGCUCACUGGCCCGAUAACUGACGCUGAGGCACGGAAAGCG
rnacentral:rRNA from 1 species